rnacentral:rRNA from 1 species
GACAGAGGUGCCGAGCGUUAGGCGGAAUCACUGGGCUUAAAGCGUGUGUAGGCGGGUCGUUAAGUGCCUUGUGAAAUCCCACCGCUCACCGGUGGAACUGCUUGGCAUACUGGCGAUCUUGAGCCACUUAGGGGCAACCGGAACAAACGGUGGAGCGGUGAAAUGCGUAGAUAUCUGGAGGAAUACCGGUGGCGAAGGCGGCAUCCUGGACCGGCAUUGACGCUGAGGAGCGAAAGCUAGGGGAGCAAACGGG